UACAGAGGGUGCGAGCGUUGUCCGGAAUCACUGGGCGUAAAGGGCGCGUAGGCGGCGUGGUAAGUCACUUGUGAAAUCUCUGAGCUUAACUCAGAACGGCCAAGUGAUACUGCUGUGCUAGAGUGCAGAAGGGGCAAUCGGAAUUCUCGGUGUAGAGGUGAAAUUCGUAGAUAUCGAGAGGAACACCGGCGGCGAAGGCGGCCUUCUGGACGAACACUGACGCUGAGACGCGAAAGCGUGGGGAGCAAACAGG
rnacentral:rRNA from 1 species